UGGGGAAUAUUGCACAAUGGGCGCAAGCCUGAUGCAGCCAUGCCGCGUGUGUGAAGAAGGCCUUCGGGUUGUAAAGCACUUUUGUCCGGAAAGAAAUCCUUGGCUCUAAUACAGUCGGGGGAUGACGGUACCGGAAGAAUAAGCACCGGCUAACUACGUGCCAGCAGCCGCGGUAAUACGUAGGGUGCAAGCGUUAAUCGGAAUUACUGGGCGUAAAGCGUGCGCAGGCGGUUUGCUAAGACCGAUGUGAAAUCCCCGGGCUCAACCUGGGAACUGCAUUGGUGACUGGCAGGCUAGAGUAUGGCAGAGGGGGGUAGAAUUCCACGUGUAGCAGUGAAAUGCGUAGAGAUGUGGAGGAAUACCGAUGGCGAAGGCAGCCCCCUGGGCCAAUACUGACGCUCAUGCACGAAAGCGUGGGGAGCAAAACAGGAUUAGAUACCCCUGGUAGUCCACGCCCUAAACGAUGUCAACUAGUUGUUGGGGAUUCAUUUCCUUAGUAACGUAGCUAACGCGUGAAGUUGACCGCCUGGGGAGUACGGUCGCAA
rnacentral:rRNA from 1 species